rnacentral:rRNA from 1 species
UCAUACCUACGGGACGCAGCAGUGAGGAAUAUUGGUCAAUGGGCGAGAGCCUGAACCAGCCAAGUCGCGUGAGGGAGUACUGCCCUAUGGGUUGUAAACCUCUUUUGUCGGGGAGCAAAAGCCGGACGUGUCCGUCUGUGAGAGUACCCGAAGAAAAAGCAUCGGCUAACUCCGUGCCAGCAGCCGCGGUAAUACGGAGGAUGCGCGCGUUAUCCGGGUUUAUUGGGUUUAAAGGGUGCGCAGGCGGAUUUUUAAGUCAGCGGUCAAAUCGUGGGGCUCAACCCCAUCCAGCCGUUGAAACUGGG